UACGGAGGGGGCAAGCGUUACUCGGAAUUAUUGGGCGUAAAGGGCGCGUAGGUGGUCGCGUGCGUCGGGGGUGAAAUACCCGGCUCAACCCGGGAACUGCGUCCGAUACUGGAAGGCUUGAAUCCGGGAGAGGGAUGUGGAAUUCCAGGUGUAGCGGUGAAAUGCGUAGAUAUCUGGAGGAACACCGGUGGCGAAGGCGAACAUCCUGGACCGGUAUUGACGCGUGAGGCGCGG
rnacentral:rRNA from 1 species